CGUACCGGUUCAGCCUCCCCCCUGCCGAACAGAUAAGGAGAGAGGAACGAGAGGGUGACGGCGUCGACCGGGCUGGCGGCGGCGCUCAGGUCCGUUCCCUCCCCGGCCCCCUCCUACUACGGCAACCUCCGGCACCGCCGCGUCUCCCCUGGUCCAUCCUCGUCCGCUGCAUCUCCUAGGUCACGCCACCCUCCUCCGUCCUCCUCCUAGGUCGCGGCUCCGUACCCAUCUCCGGUUAGGUCUUCCUCCUAGGUCGCGGCCUCGUCCCCGUCUCUGGUCGACUUGCUCGUGGGUCGCAGCUCUCUCCCCCGUCUCCGGUUGGUUCCUAGCUCGCGGCUCCCUCCGUAGUCCCGGGUCGCUGCGACUCGUCCUCCCGGGUCGCGUCACCUCCUCCCAUGCCCGCGGCUCCCUCCCUAGUCCCUGUCUACUGCGUCCCGGGCACCUGCCUGUACAUCCACGAGAGCAGCACCCCCCCACUAUAGCUACCCUCUGUUCUAAAUCUCUUUGAACCCCUGAACCCACAAUUUUUUGUUCUAUGUAGUCUGAACUAGCAGUCUCUGUCUAUCUCUCAGAAGCCUCAACUGUCUAUUUAUCUUUUUUCCCUAAUCAGCUGCACCAAGACUAAUUUUUUUUGUUCAACACUACAAAUUUGUGAAGUGUUCAUCGAUCUGCAGGCCUGUUGAAGAACCAUGGCCGAAGAAGUAAGUACAAGGAGGAGGAAUUACUGCACAUGAGAUGAUGAGAUGGAUGAUGCAUUGCUUGAAGUCUUAGUUGAGCAUCACAACAAGAGUGUCCAUGCCCAAAAUGGAUGGAAACCACAUGUGUACACGCAUGCCAUAAGGAAUGUGAAGGACAAGUGCAAUAAGGAUAUCACAAAGGAUAACAUAAGUGGAAGGAUGAGGACUUUGGACCAUCACUAUGAGGCUAACAAGGCAAGCAAGGAGAUAAAAUCUUACAAGACCAAAGUAAUGAAGAACUGGGAGUCCAUAUGUAUCGUAUAUUCAAAAGAUCAUGCUAAUGGCGAGGGUGCGAAGACAUGUGCUGAGAUUGUUGCAGAGCCAUUAGGGUGGCGUUUGGUUCGAGGGCGAGGAUGGCUUGGCUGAUGAUAACCCCAUCCACCUGGUUAGGGAUAGCCAUUUUUGUUGUUUGGUUGCGUAGGAUUGAGUGGGUUGGAUAACCACAUUUUAUUGUUUGGUUGGAAGAAUGAGAAUUGGAUAGAUUGUUGUGAUGACCUCUUUGCUAGAAGAAGGUGAGAUUACCCCUA